rnacentral:rRNA from 1 species
UACGUAGGGGGCAAGCGUUGUCCGGAUUCACUGGGCGUAAAGCGCGUGUAGGCGGCGCGUCAAGUCGGGUGUGAAAGCCCGGGGCUCAACCCCGGGAUGCCGCUCGAAACUGGCGUGCUUGAGGACGGAAGAGGGGAGUGGAAUUCCUGGUGUAGCGGUGAAAUGCGUAGAGAUCAGGAGGAACACCCGUGGCGAAGGCGGCAUCCUGGCCCUGUCCUGACGCUCAGGGGCGAAAGCGUGGGGAGCAAACCGG